UCCGGGUGCAGAUGCUGCUGGGCACCUCUCCUGGUGGACAUGAUUAAACUCUGAUGAAAAUAAUGGUAAAGACUUAUUCAGAAAGCAGCACAAAAUAACUCAUUUCAGUACGCCCUGCUGAACCAAGGAUUUAAACUCGGGCAUCCUGUUACCAGCUCUCCCCGCAGCAAAGACCAUGGCAAACAGAGGGUGAUUUGAGAGGAAACCCAGCUCCCCGGCUGCUGAAAUCCCUGCUGUGUGAUGCCUUGUUUUGUGCUGAUGCUGCUGCCCUGACAACAAAGGGGAUCCACCAAAGUAGCGUUGGGAUGAGUCACCCCAGGGUGCAUCACCCACCCACAAGCCAGCAGGGACAUCUGAGCACAUCUCCAUUGG